rnacentral:rRNA from 1 species
GAUGAACGCUGGCGGCGUGCCUAAUACAUGCAAGUCGAGCGAACAGAUGAGGAGCUUGCUCCUCUGACGUUAGCGGCGGACGGGUGAGUAACACGUGGAUAACCUACCUAUAAGACUGGGAUAACUUCGGGAAACCGGAGCUAAUACCGGAUAAUAUAUUGAACCGCAUGGUUCAAUAGUGAAAGACGGUUUUGCUGUCACUUAUAGAUGGAUCCGCGCCGCAUUAGCUAGUUGGUAAGGUAACGGCUUACCAAGGCAACGAUGCGUAGCCGACCUGAGAGGGUGAUCGGCCACACUGGAACUAGACACGGUCCAGACCCCUACGGGAGGCAGCAGUAGGGAAUCUUCCGGAAGGGGCGAAAGCCUGACGGAGCAACGCAGCGUGAGUGAUGAAGGUCUUCGGAUCGAAAAACUCUGUUAUUAGGGAAGAAAAAAUGUGUAAGUAACUAUGCACGUCUUGACGGUACUUAAUCAGAAAGCCACGGCUAACUACG